CCUACGGGAGGCAGCAGUGGGGAAUCUUGCGCAAUGGGCGAAAGCCUGACGCAGCAACGCCGCGUGCGGGAAGAAGGCUUUCGGGCUGUAAACCGCUUUCAGCAGGAACGAAAAUGACGGUACCUGCAGAAGAAGGAGCGGCCAACUAUGUGCCAGCAGCCGCGGUGAUACAUAGGCUUCAAGCGUUGUCCGGAUUUAUUGGGCGUAAAGAGUUCGUAGGCGGUCGAGUAAGUCGGGUGUGAAAAUUCUGGGCUCAACCCAGAGACGCCACCCGAUACUGCUUAACUUGAGUUCGAUAGGGGAGUGGGGAAUUCCUAGUGUAGCGGUGAAAUGCGCAGAUAUUAGGAGGAACACCGGUGGCGAAGGCGCCACUCUGGAUCGAUACUGACGCUGAGGAACGAAAGCAUGGGUAGCAAACAGGAUUAGAUACCCUGGUAGUCCAUGCCGUAAACGGUGGGCACUAGGUGUGGGAUUCUAUUAACGAAUUCCGCGCCGUCGCUAACGCAUUAAGUGCCCCGCCUGGGGGAGUACGGUCGCAAGACUAAAACUUAAAUGAAUUGACGG
rnacentral:rRNA from 1 species